rnacentral:rRNA from 1 species
GGACGAACGCUGGCGGCCUGGCUAAGACAUGCAAGUCGAACGAGCUCGCCCCAAUUGAUUUUAUGCUUGAAUUAAUGAUGUUUGGAUUCGGAGCUGGUGGGGAAUUGGUGAGUUACACGUGGGUAACCUGCCCCGAAGCGGGGGAUAACAUUUGGAAACAAGUGCUAAUACCGCUUAAUUAGUUGGAACCGCAUGGUUCCAACUUGAAAGAUGGCUCUGCUAUCACUUUGGGAUGGACCCGCGCCGUAUUAGUUAGUUGGUGAGAUAAAAGCCCACCAAGACGAUGAUACGUAGCCGACCUGAGAGGGUAAUCGGCCACAUUGGGACUGAGACACGGCCCAGACUCCUACGGGAGGCAGCAGUAGGGAAUCUUCCACAAUGGACGAAAGUCUGAUGGAGCAACGCCGCGUGAGUGAUGAAGGUUUUCGGAUCGUAAAACUCUGUUGUUAAAGAAGAACAAGUGUUAGAGUAACUGUUAACACUUUGACGGUAUUUAACCAGAAAGCCACGGCUAACUACGUGCCAGCAGCCGCGGUAAUACGUAGGUGGCAAGCGUUGUCCGGAUUUAUUGGGCGUAAAGCGAGCGCAGGCGGUUUUGUAAGUCUGCUGUGAAGCCCUCAGCUCAACUGAGGAAGUGCAGUGGAAACUACAAACUUGAGUACAGAAGAGGACAGUGGGAACUCCAUGUGUAGUGGUGAAAUGCGUAGAUAUAUGGAAGAACACCAGUGGCGAAGGCGGCUUUCUGGUCUGUUACUGACGCUGAGGCUCGAAAGCAUGGGUAGCGAACAGGAUUAGAUACCCUGGUAGUCCAUGCCGUAAACGAUGAAUACUAGGUGUUGGAGGGUUUCCGCCCUUCAGUGCCGCAGCUAACGCAUUAAGUAUUCCGCCUGGGGAGUACGACCGCAAGGUUGAAACUCAAAGGAAUUGACGGGGGCCCGCACAAGUGGUGGAGCAUGUGGUUUAAUUCGAUGCUACGCGAAGAACCUUACCAGCUCUUGACAUCUUCUGCCAACCCAAGAGAUUGGGCGUUCCCUUCGGGGACAGAAUGACAGGUGGUGCAUGGUUGUCGUCAGCUCGUGUCGUGAGAUGUUGGGUUAAGUCCCGCAACGAGCGCAACCCUUAUUAUUAGUUGCCAGCAUUUAGUUGGGCACUCUAGUGAGACUGCCGGUGAUAAACCGGAGGAAGGUGGGGACGACGUCAAAUCAUCAUGCCCCUUAUGAGCUGGGCUACACACGUGCUACAAUGGAUGGUACAACGAGUCGCGAAACCGCGAGGUCAAGCUAAUCUCUUAAAGCCAUUCUCAGUUCGGAUUGCAGGCUGCAACUCGCCUGCAUGAAGUUGGAAUCACUAGUAAUCGUGGAUCAGCAUGCCACGGUGAAUACGUUCCCGGGCCUUGUACACACCGCCCGUCA